UACGUAGGGUGCAAGCGUUGUCCGGAAUUAUUGGGCGUAAAGAGCUCGUAGGCGGUUUGUUGCGUCGGCUGUGAAAUCCCGAGGCUCAACCUCGGGUCUGCAGUCGAUACGGGCAGACUAGAGUUCGGUAGGGGAGUCUGGAAUUCCUGGUGUAGCGGUGAAAUGCGCAGAUAUCAGGAGGAACACCGGUGGCGAAGGCGGGACUCUGGGCCGAUACUGACGCUGAGGAGCGAAAGCGUGGGGAGCAAACAGG
rnacentral:rRNA from 1 species